UAGGGAAUCUUCCGCAAUGGACGCAAGUCUGACGGAGCAACGCCGCGUGAGUGAAGAAGGAUUUCGGUUCGUAAAACUCUGUUGUUAGAGAAGAACAGCGCAUAGAGUAACUGUUAUGCGUGUGACGGUAUCUAACCAGAAAGCCACGGCUAACUACGUGCCAGCAGCCGCGGUAAUACGUAGGUGGCAAGCGUUGUCCGGAUUUAUUGGGCGUAAAGCGAGCGCAGGCGGUCAAUUAAGUCUGAUGUGAAAGCCCCCGGCUCAACCGGGGAGGGUCAUUGGAAACUGGUUGACUUGAGUGCUGAAGAGGAGAGUGGAAUUCCAUGUGUAGCGGUGAAAUGCGUAGAUAUAUGGAGGAACACCAGUGGCGAAGGCGACUCUCUGGUCUGUAACUGACGCUGAGGUUCGAAAGCGUGGGUAGCAAACAGG
rnacentral:rRNA from 1 species